GACGAACGCUGGCGGCGUGCUUAACACAUGCAAGUCGAACGGUGAUGCUCCAGCUUGCUGGAGUGGAUCAGUGGCGAACGGGUGAGUAACACGUGAGCAACCUGCCCCAGACUCUGGAAUAAGCGCUGGAAACGGCGUCUAAUACUGGAUACGAAACUGGCCCGCAUGGGCAUGGUUUGGAAAGUUUUUCGGUUUGGGAUGGGCUCGCGGCCUAUCAGCUUGUUGGUGAGGUAAUGGCUCACCAAGGCGACGACGGGUAGCCGGCCUGAGAGGGCGACCGGCCCCACGGGGACGGGGACGCGGCCCAGACCCCUGCGGGGGGAAAGGGGGGGGAAUUUUGCAAAAGGGGCGAAACCCUGGUGCAGCGACCCCGGGGGGGGGAUGACGCCCUUCGGGUUGUAAACCUCUUUCAGCAGGGAAAAAGCGAAAGUGACGGUACCUGCAGAAGAACCACCGGCUACCUACGU
rnacentral:rRNA from 1 species